AAACACUGAUAAUUUUGGUGUGUUAUUUUUAUUUUAAUUCAACGAAUGCAUGCGAUUUAUGUGGUCGAUCCAGAAGAACGUGCGUGUAACACCAAAUGACCGACGGGUCAGUUUCGCUGCCGUCAACAGACUACACAAGAGUCGCGCUCAGUCUAAUAACUAAUAAGACUAUAACUAGUUUCUAUAGCGGUGGCGACCAAAUGAUUCCCUACUACAUCGUAAUGAUGCGCUGCACUCGCGGAUAACCAGUUUAAGAUAUGUUUCAAUAACACUAUUUUGCUAAUAAACACAUGACGACUUUGUUCUUUAACCGGUCUCCAGCAACACGUGUGUACUACAAUAUAAAUAAUAGUAUUUUUGUAACGAAUUAACAAAAUAUCGUGAUAAAAAUACAUAAAUAUAACCACACAUAUUGUGAAUCACAGCAUGCAAAAUUAAGGUCGAGUAAGUUAUUGGUAUUUUCUUCUUUACUCUCACAGAGUUAAGCAUUUUUUUUACUAUCGUAUACAUAAAUUCAAGAUGAAAUCUGAAGGGACUAAUGUGAUUUUUUCAUCGAACGAACUUGAAAUAGACAUAUAUAACAGAAUAAUAACAAUAAGAACUUUCCUACUAGAAAGCAGCAAUCCCCACAUUAUUUACAGGUGAUUAAACUUUAAAACCAGCUACUUCACACUCAAUUGGUGAUCUUUGUUCCAUGUUAAUUAUCAUAUUUUCAAGAAAAAUACCUCAGUUUUGCAACGAAGCUAAAAAUUCAAAUUUUAAAUGACUACAAUAAGUUUCUAUUCUUACGAGUCUGAAAAAUGUGUUUCAUGAAGUAAAUCUGAUGGAGUAUUGAACAGAUAAAAAUAUUUAAUCCAAAAUUUAUUUUAUUUUCUGCUUUUGAGUCAUAACUUCCAACUAUAAUCUAAAUCUAAAUAUAUAUCUAAAUA